rnacentral:rRNA from 1 species
AUUGAACGCUGGCGGCAUGCCUUACACAUGCAAGUCGAACGGUAACAGGUUAAGCUGACGAGUGGCGUACGGGUGAGUAAUAUAUCGGAACGUGCCCAGUAGUGGGGGAUAGCCCGGCGAAAGCCGGAUUAAUACCGCAUACGACCUACGGGUGAAAGGGGGGGAUCGCAAGACCUCUCGCUAUUGGAGCGGCCGAUAUCAGAUUAGGUAGUUGGUGGGGUAAAGGCCUACCAAGCCUGCGAUCUGUAGUUGGUCUGAGAGGACGACCAGCCACACUGGGACGGAGACACGGCCCAGACUCCUACGGGAGGCAGCAGUGGGGAAUUUUGGACAAUGGGCGCAAGCCUGAUCCAGCAAUGCCGCGUGCAGGAAGAAGGCCUUCGGGUUGUAAACUGCUUUUGUCAGGGAAGAAAUCCUCUGGGUUAAUACCUCGGGGGGAUGACGGUACCUGAAGAAUAAGCACCGGCUAACUACGUGCCAGCCGCCGCAGUAAAAC